GCAAACUUGGUCAUUUAGAGGAAGUAAAAGUCGUAACAAGGUAUCCGUAGGUGAACCUGCGGAUGGAUCAUUACCAAUUUUUAUUAUUAGUUUUGCUUGCGCCUUGGCGUAAGUAAAUACUACUACUGUAAACGUUGAACUAGAUCAUUGGUCGUGGAUUGCUUGGGAAUGGACGAAGCGACAAGCCUCUUCCGGACAGGCAAACCCCACACCGAUAACCUUUUCAUACAUAUUACAACUAGUACAUACUACAAACAAACAAACAAACAUUCAAAUAGGAUUUAACUAUAAGCUGAGUGGGUAAAAUCCUCGGCUUUAAAAUUAAUAACUAUUACAACUUUCAGCAAUGGAUCUCUAGGCUCUCGCAUCGAUGAAGAACGCAGC
rnacentral:misc_RNA from 1 species